rnacentral:rRNA from 1 species
UUGAUCAUGGCUCAGAUUGAACGCUGGCGGCAGGCUUAACACAUGCAAGUCGAGCGGGGGAAGGUAGCUUGCUACUGGACCUAGCGGCGGACGGGUGAGUAAUGCUUAGGAAUCUGCCUAUUAGUGGGGGGCAACAUCUCGAAAGGGAUGCUAAUACCGCAUACGUCCUACGGGAGAAAGCAGGGGAUCUUCGGACCUUGCGCUAAUAGAUGAGCCUAAGUCGGAUUAGCUAGUUGGUGGGGUAAAGGCCUACCAAGGCGA